GGAAAUCUACGGUGGUUAAAAGAAAACAAACAAAAACUUGGAAACAUUCUAAUGUCAAACAAUAGGGAAAUAGCUAAGGAAAUUAAAAUAACUACUUAACCAAAAAUACAGAACCACAAAGUACUGGAAUAGUGGAAUUUUAAGUGCUUUAAGAAAUUUUACAGCAUUGUUAUAGAGUUUGUACAUUUCAAAAAAGAUUAAUCAUUGUUGAGGCAGUUUCCACAUACUACCUGAUUAAUCAUUAAGAUAUAACUUUCUUCUAAUAAUUGCUAUUUACUGUCCAGAUUUAAUUAUUAUCAGAGUAGCAACAUAACCACAUACAUACAUACACACACAAAUGUAUAUAAUUUGUAUACAUUUGUGUAUAAUGUAAAUAUAAAUAAAGAGUCAACAAGCUCAAAGAACAGUGGUUUCCUCUCAAAAUGCCAGGCAAUUAACUACACAACCCUCUUCUCAGUUAUUUCCAAGAGAACUGAGCUUGGAGGCCCUCCUGCGGAGGGAGUCCUGGACCUGCUGACUCAAUCUGACCUGUUUGGACACUCCAUGGUGCUUCUCUGCUAGUCACCCUGACUUCUGCUUCCCUCUAGAUGCGCCCAUCAUGCCCACCCCUCCAACUGCCUCCAGAGUCCUCUUCAUCCAAACAAUCAGGUGGGAUCACUUAGCCUGGCAUUCUAGGCUGUCUGCAGUUUGACCCAUCUCACAGACCACUUGCAGCAUAGUGUGGCACUCACCAAUGAACACACUGCACAGUGGAUGACCACCUCCCUUUUCUUAGACACUCUACUCC
rnacentral:lncRNA from 1 species